rnacentral:rRNA from 1 species
UCCUGGCUCAGGAUGAACGCUAGCGACAGGCUAACACAUGCAAGUCGAGGGGCAGCAUAGAAGUAGCAAUACUUGGUGGCGACCGGCGCACGGGUGAGUAACGCGUAUGCAACCUACCUAUCAGAGGGGAAUAACCCGGCGAAAGUCGGACUAAUACCGCAUAAAACAGGGGCACCGCAUGGUGAUAUUUGUUAAAGAAAUUCGCUGAUAGAUGGGCAUGCGUUCCAUUAGGUAGUUGGUGAGGUAACGGCUCACCAAGCCGACGAUGGAUAGGGGAACUGAGAGGUUGGUCCCCCACACUGGUACUGAGACACGGACCAGACUCCUACGGGAGGCAGCAGUGAGGAAUAUUGGUCAAUGGGCGGGAGCCUGAACCAGCCAAGUCGCGUGAAGGAAGAAGGAUCUAUGGUUCGUAAACUUCUUUUGCAGGGGAAUAAAGUGCAGGACGUGUCCUGUUUUGUAUGUACCCUGAGAAUAAGGAUCGGCUAACUCCGUGCCAGCAGCCGC